rnacentral:rRNA from 1 species
AUUGAACGCUGGCGGCAGGCCUAACACAUGCAAGUCGAACGAGCGGCGGACGGGUGAGUAAUGUAUGGGGAUCUGCCCGAUAGAGGGGGAUAACUACUGGAAACGGUAGCUAAUACCGCAUACCAUCGGAUGAACCCAGAUGGGAUUAGCUAGUAGGUGGGGUAACGGCUCACCUAGGCGACGAUCCCUAGCUGGUCUGAGAGGAUGAUCAGCCACACUGGGACUGAGACACGGCCCAGACUCCUACGGGAGGCAGCAGUGGGGAAUAUUGCACAAUGGGCGCAAGCCUGAUGCAGCCAUGCCGCGUGUAUGAAGAAGGCCUUCGGGUUGUAAAGUACUUUCAGUCGGGAGGCGUUACCGACAGAAGAAGCACCGGCUAACUCCGUGCCAGCAGCCGCGGUAAUAC